rnacentral:rRNA from 1 species
GAAUUUUGGACAAUGGGCGAAAGCCUGGUCCAGCAAUGCCGCGUUCAGGAUGAAGGCCUUCGGGUUGUAAACUGCUUUUGUACGUGACGAAAAGCUUUGGGUUCAUACCCUGGAGCCAUGACGGUACCGGAAGAAUAAGCACCGGCUAACUACCAUCACGCCGCCGCGGUACUACGUAGGGCGCAAGCGUUAAUCGGAAUUACUGGGCGUCAAGCGUGCGCAGGCGGUUUUGUAAGACAGAGGUGAAAUCCCCGGGCUCAACCUGGGAACUGCCUUUGUGACUGCAAGGCUAGAGUACGGCAGAGGGGGGUGGAAUUCCGCGUGUAGCAGUGAAAUGCGUAGAUAUGCGGAGGAACACCGAUGGCGAAGGCAACCCCCUGGGCCUGUACUGACGCUCAUGCACGAAAGCGUGGGGAGCAAACA